rnacentral:tRNA from 1 species
GCGUCGGUGGUAGAGCGGCCAAUUACUCGGGACUGUAAAUCCCGCGCCCAAUGGGCUACGCAGGUUCGAAUCCUGCCCGACGCA